AAUCGCUAGUAAUCGCGGAUCAGCAUGCCGCGGUGAAUACGUUCCCGGGCCUUGUACACACCGCCCGUCACACCAUGAGAGUCGGGAACACCCGAAGUCCGUAGCCUAACUUUAACGAGGGGGCGCGGCCGAAGGUGGGUUCGAUAAUUGGGGUGAAGUCGUAACAAGGUAGC
rnacentral:rRNA from 1 species